rnacentral:rRNA from 1 species
GCAUAUCAAUAAGCGGAGGAAAAGAAAAUAACCAUGAUUGCCUUAGUAACGGCGAGUGAAGAGGCAAAAGCUCAAGUUUGGAAGCUCAGUGGUUUAACCACUGCGCAUUGUAAACUGAAAACAGGAUCAAUCAGGUACACCGGGUGAUAAGUUCCUUGGAAUAGGACAUCAUGGAGGGUGAGAAUCCCGUCUUUGACCCGAGUCUAGUAUCUUUUGUAUUGGCCUGUUCAAGAGUCAGGUUGUUUGGGAAUGCAGCCUAAAGCUGGAGGUAAAUCCCUCCUGAAGCUAAAUAAUGGCGAGAGACCGAUAGCGAACAAGUACCGUGAGGGAAAGAUGAAAAGAACUCUGAAGAGAGAGUUAAACAGUACGUGAAAUUGCUUAAAGGGAAGCAUAUAAAGCUAGGAUGCGAUUGUUUUCUUCAGGUUGAGCUUUGGCUUGACUGUUCAGAAGGAUAAUCCGAGACAACAAGAAUUGGAGGAGGAGAAUAAGCUGUUAGGGAAGGUAAUCCUUCGGGAUGUUUAUAGACCUGGCAGUUCGCGCUCUUCUUUCGAUUGAGGUACGCUUUUUUUAAAGGUUGUUGUCUGAAUGGCUUUAUAUGGCCCGUCUUGAAACACGGA